rnacentral:lncRNA from 1 species
CUUCGUCUCCGUCGGCGGUUCUUGUCAACACUGACAAGAAGUAGUACGGCUUCCCGCCGACUGUUGAACUUGAACUCUCCAAUAUGUUUGCGGUUGCCACCGCACCGGAGUCAAAACCACCCUGCAUAUGCGCGCGCGCACACACAUGUAUGUACUCAAACCACGUAUGUAAAUGGUUGCUUUAAAUUCGAAAAACAAGGGAAUGGGAGGUACCAAAAAUGAAGUCUAUGAUAGCUAUUACAUAUGUUAUAUAUUAUAUGCAUCUGUUAGUGAAUCACCU